rnacentral:hammerhead_ribozyme from 1 species
AGCUGGCGGACGAGUCCCAAAUAGGACGAAAUGCGCGUUAUCCUGGU